rnacentral:rRNA from 1 species
CCUACGGGAGGCAGCAGUAAGGAAUAUUGGUCAAUGGACGCAAGUCUGAACCAGCCAUGCCGCGUGAAGGAUUAAGGCCCUCUGGGUUGUAAACUUCUUUUAUAGGGGACGAAAAAAGGGCAUUCUUGCUCACUUGACGGUACCCUAGGAAUAAGCACCGGCUAACUCCGUGCCAGCAGCCGCGGUAAUACGGAGGGUGCAAGCGUUAUCCGGAUUUACUGGGUUUAAAGGGUGCGUAGGUGGGUUGGUAAGUCAGUGGUGAAAUCUUCGAGCUUAACUCGGAAACUGCCAUUGAUACUAUCAAUCUUGAAUCAUCUAGAGGUAAGCGGAAUAUGUCAUGUAGCGGUGAAAUGCUUAGAUAUGACAUAGAACACCAAUUGCGAAGGCAGCUUACUAUGGAUGUAUUGACACUGAGGCACGAAAGCGUGGGGAUCAAACAGGAUUAGAUACCCUGGUAGUCCACGCCCUAAACGAUGGAUACUCGACAUUUGUGAUAUACUAUAAGUGUUNUGAGAGAAGACGAUAAGUAUACCACCGACGGAGGUAACGGUACCGACGAGUUAGUAAGUUAAAGUUAAGUAGUUAGNGNGNGAGAGCGACGACGACGACGACGGAGGAGGAG